rnacentral:rRNA from 1 species
AGUCGAACGCAGUAGCAAUACUGAGUGGCAGACGGGUGAGUAACAUGUGGGAAUCUGCCUUGUGGUUCAGGACAACAUUGGGAAACCGAUGCUAAUACUGGAUAAGCCCUUACGGGGAAAGUUUUAAUGCCAAAAGAUGAGCCCGCACUUGAUUAGCUAGUUGGUAAGGUAAUGGCUUACCAAGGCGAUAAUCAAUAGCUGAUUUGAGAGGAUGAUCAGCCACACUGGGACUGAGAUACGGCCCAGACUCC